rnacentral:rRNA from 1 species
AUUGAACGCUGGCGGCAUGCCUUACACAUGCAAGUCGAACGGUAACGCGGGGCAACCUGGCGACGAGUGGCGAACGGGUGAGUAAUGUAUCGGAGCGUGCCCAGUUGUGGGGGAUAACUGCUCGAAAGAGCAGCUAAUACCGCAUACGACCUGAGGGUGAAAGCGGGGGAUCGCAAGACCUCGCGCAAUUGGAGCGGCCGAUAUCAGAUUAGGUAGUUGGUGGGGUAAAGGCUCACCAAGCCAACGAGCUGUAGCUGGUCUGAGAGGACGACCAGCCACACUGGGACUGAGACACGGCCCAGACUCCUACGGGAGGCAGCAGUGGGGAAUUUUGGACAAUGGACGCAAGUCUGAUCCAGCCAUGCCGCGUGCGGGAAGAAGGCCUUCGGGUUGUAAACCGCUUUUGUCAGGGAAGAAACGCUCUGGGUUAAUACCUCGGGGUAAUGACGGUACCUGAAGAAUAAGCACCGGCUAACUACGUGCCAGCCGCCGCAGUAA